rnacentral:rRNA from 1 species
GACGAACGCUGGCGGCGUGCUUAACACAUGCAAGUCGAACGGAAAGGCCCCUUUGGGGGUACUCGAGUGGCGAACGGGUGAGUAACACGUGAGUAACCUGCCCUUGACUUCGGGAUAACUUCAGGAAACUGGGGCUAAUACCGGAUAGGAAUCCUUGCUGCAUGGUGGGGGUUGGAAAGCUUCGGCGGUUUUGGAUGGACUCGCGGCUUAUCAGCUUGUUGGUGGGGUAGUGGCUUACCAAGGCUUUGACGGGUAGCCGGCCUGAGAGGGCGACCGGCCACAUUGGGACUGAGAUACGGCCCAGACUCCUACGGGAGGCAGCAGUGGGGAAUAUUGCACAAUGGGCGGAAGCCUGAUGCAGCAACGCCGCGUGCGGGAUGACGGCCUCGGGUUGUAAACCGCUUUCAGCAGGGGCGAAGCUUGUGGUGACGGUACCUGCAGAAGAAGCACCGGCUAACUACGUG